rnacentral:tRNA from 2 species
GGAGGGGUGGCCGAGUCCGGUUGAAGGCGCCGGUCUUGAAAACCGGAAUCCCGCAAGGGAUCGGGGGUUCGAAUCCCUCCCCCUCCGCCA